UGUAGGGUGGUGUAUAGGCACAUGAAGUUUUGGACUUUAAGGAAUCAAAUUAAAUUUGGUCUUUAC
rnacentral:tRNA from 1 species